rnacentral:rRNA from 1 species
AGGAUAAACGCUGGCGGCGUGCCUAACACAUGCAAGUCGAACGCACUCAGCAAUGAGUGAGUGGCGGACGGGUGAGUAACGCGUGGGCCACCUGCCCUAAAGUGAGGAAUACCGGCGAGAAAUCGCCGACAAUACCGCAUACGCUCUGCAAAGAGCAAAGCUCGCAAGGGCGCUUUAGGAUGGGCCUGCGUCUGAUUAGCUAGUUGGUGAGGUCAUAGCUUACCAAGGCGACGAUCAGUAGCUGGUCUGAGAGGACGAUCAGCCACACUGGGAUUGAGAACGGCCCAGACUCCUACGGGGGGCAGCAGUGAGGAAUUUUCGUCAAUGGGGGAAACCCUGAACGAGCAACGCCGCGUGCAGGAAGAGGUUUUCGGAUCGUAAACUGCUUUUCGUUGGGGACGAGAACGGACGGUACCCAAGGAAGAACGCCCCGGCUAACUACGCGCCAGCAGCCGC